GGCGGCUCCAGCCCCGGGCGGCUCCAGCCCCGGGCGGCCCGCGGAGGGCUGGGCCUAGCCCCCGGCUCCGGUUCCCGGGCCGGCGGGCGGCCGCUCACCAUGCCCGGCAAGCAGCAGCACUUCCAGGAACCCGAGGUCGGCUGCUGCGGGAAAUACUUCCUGUUUGGCUUCAACAUCGUCUUCUGGGUGCUGGGAGCCCUGUUCCUGGCCAUUGGUCUCUGGGCCUGGGGUGAGAAGGGUGUUCUCUCCAACAUCUCGGCGCUGACAGAUCUGGGAGGCCUUGACCCCGUGUGGCUGUUUGUAGUGGUAGGAGGCAUCAUGUCGGUGCUGGGCUUUGCCGGCUGCAUUGGGGCCCUCCGGGAGAACACAUUCCUGCUCAAGUUUUUCUCCGUGUUCCUUGGCCUCAUCUUCUUCCUGGAGCUGGCAACAGGGAUCCUGGCCUUCGUCUUCAAGGACUGGAUUCGAGACCAGCUCAACCUCUUCAUCAACAACAAUGUCAAGGCCUAUAGGGAUGACAUUGACCUCCAGAACCUCAUUGACUUUGCUCAGGAAUACUGGUCUUGCUGCGGAGCCCGAGGGCCCAACGACUGGAACCUCAAUAUCUACUUCAACUGCACUGACGUGAACCCGAGCCGGGAGCGCUGCGGGGUGCCCUUCUCCUGCUGCGUCAGGGACCCUGUGGAAGAUGUCCUCAACACUCAGUGUGGCUACGAUGUUCGGCUCAAACUGGAGCUGGAGCAGCAGGGCUUCAUCCACACCAAAGGCUGCGUGGGCCAGUUUGAAAAGUGGCUGCAGGACAACCUGAUUGUCGUGGCUGGGGUCUUUGUGGGCAUCGCCCUCCUCCAGAUCUUUGGUAUCUGCCUGGCCCAGAACCUCGUGAGUGACAUCAAGGCAGUGAAGGCCAACUGGUGAGGCUGCCUCGCUGGCCAUGGCCACUCUCCUGGCUGACCCAGGGCCCCCGCCCCCCCCAACUCUGCCCGUGAUGGGAUCAAACAUGAUGAUGGCUACAGACUACUCAAAUAAACAAAACCUUGAAAACCACUGGCUUCUGCCCGGCGUCUUGAAGAUUCUCUCAGCUUCAGGUUCUCAGCAGAGCUCUCCAUCUUGGGCCCUGGCUUGGAGCCAUCCGCCAAUGUGUUUUCUUGGCCUGGGUAGUAUAUACAUUUGAGCCAACCUUUAAAACUUGGUGUAUUUCACGUAAAAGUCCAGAUCCCCAACUUCUUGUGAAGAUUGGCCAUCUGGCCACAGCAGCUCUUGGGGCAUCGUCUCCUGGGACAUGUGCUUCCUGUUCUCUGAGGGACCCACCUGGCCUGUGCUUCUCACCCUGUAGGCUGGGGUUGGCCUCCGCACUGCUGUAGGGUUUUUCCCUGCAAACACCGCGAGGCUGCCGUGGGCUAAGCCUUCAUGAGGAUGUGAAGAAUGGGGAGGCUGGACACUGCCCUGAAGAGGCCACACAGCCUAGGAGGAGUCCAGCCACACUGGAGACUGAGAUGGGUGCCCAGGAGAGUGGCUGAGGGGUGGAAUGGAGAUCAGGAAGGUUUGGGGAAGGAAGUAGUUGGAAGUUGAAAACUUGGCACACGUGGGGUUGGGGGAAGCCUGCUUUGGAACCCAUGGUGGUUGAUGCCGGGCCUCACUUGGAAUCAAAUCGAACAUCUUCAUGGAGGCCUGCAGAGCUGCCUCAUGGCCACCAGAGGGCGCACCAGCAAGCUUUGCCUGGGUCUGGCUGCUUCGUCCACAACCUCACUCUGGUACAGCCAAGUGCCUGGUGUGUCCACCCAGCUUUCCAGUGCUUUGGGUUCAGGGAAUUUGAGAACUUCGAAAGGAGCAACUGUCUCCGACUUGGGAAGUCUGCUGCUCUCAGCUCUGCCUCUUAGCUGCAUGAAGGGGUGUGUGUGGAGUGAAUGCCACACCCAUCCCUAGGGUGCCCUUUGUGGAUAAAAGGAGGGAUUUGGGCAGGUUCACAGAUCUCCUACUCAGAUGCCCAAGGUUGUAUAAAUGAAUGAAGUAGGCCUUUGACUUGUGAGGUCUUUGCAGUGCAACUGACUUUCCUACUGUUCCUGAAGACUGCACCGAGAGACAUUGCUUUAUGACGAAAAAUAUUUGGACCAUCAAGUUGAUAAUGGCAGCUGACCUUGAGGUACAAUAGAGUGGUGAGGACUGGCAAAGCACAGGUCCCCAUCUGAAGUUGGUGGCUGUCAUUUAGUUGUGGCUAAUUGCUAUAAAGUGGGAAUGCAGGUCUAAUGUCAGAAAUCUGGAGAAGCCAGAAAUCCAGGUUUUUAUGUGAAAUAUCCCUAUUUUUAAGGUGUUGACAACUAAUGAAAAAAAAAAUGCUGCAAGCCCAACAAAAGAAGAGGGGGCCAGCUUUGACCCCUGUGUCACUACAAUUCCCUCUGGGAUAAUCACCUAUUGGGGUCCUGGCUGCUCUGCCAUUCAGGGGUGCUGGGAGCUGCUGCCAGGAGGGGAGGGUGUGGGGUAUGCACCCAGCAUUGUAGCUCCCAGACACAGGCUGGACAGUGUCCUGGGGUCCCUGACAGGUACCAGUGCA